rnacentral:rRNA from 1 species
GACGAACGCUGGCGGCGUGCUUAACACAUGCAAGUCGAACGGAAAGGCCCUUCGGGGUACUCGAGUGGCGAACGGGUGAGUAACACGUGGGUGAUCUGCCCUGCACUUUGGGAUAAGCCUGGGAAACUGGGUCUAAUACCGAAUAGGACCGCGCGCUUCAUGGUGUGUGGUGGAAAGCUUUUGCGGUGUGGGAUGGGCCCGCGGCCUAUCAGCUUGUUGGUGGGGUAAUGGCCUACCAAGGCGACGACGGGUAGCCGGCCUGAGAGGGUGACCGGCCACCCUGGGACUGAGAUACGGCCCAGACUCCUACGGGAGGCAGCAGUGGGGAAUAUUGCACAAUGGGCGCAAGCCUGAUGCAGCGACGCCGCGUGAGGGAUGACGGCCCUCGGGUUGUAAACCUCUUUCACCAGGGACGAAGCGCAAGUGACGGUACCUGGAGAAGAAGCACCGGCCAACUACGUG